rnacentral:tRNA from 1 species
UGGGAUAUAGCUCAGUUGGUAGAGAGUUUGCCUGGCAUGCACAAAGCCCUGGGUUCAAUUCCCAGCACCCAA